UACGUAGGUGGCAAGCGUUGUCCGGAUUUACUGGGCGUAAAGGGCGUGCAGGCGGUCUGUUAAGUGCAGGGUGAAAGCUCCCGGCUCAACUGGGAGAGGUCCUUGCAUACUGGCGGACUUGAGGGGGGUAGAGGAAAGUGGAAUUCCCGGUGUAGUGGUGGAUAUGCGUAGAUAUCGGGAGGAACACCAGUGGCGAAGGCGAGUCCCUGGACAUUUCCUGACACUGAGGCACGAAAGCGUGGGAGCAAACAGGG
rnacentral:rRNA from 1 species